rnacentral:rRNA from 1 species
AUUGAACGCUGGCGGCAGGCCUAACACAUUCAAGUCGAACGAGUGGCGGACGGGUGAGUAAUGUCUGGGAAACUUCCUGAUGGAGGGGGAUAACUACUGGAAACGGUCGCUAAUACCGCAUCCCAUCGGUCGCGCCCAUAUGGGAUUAGCUAGUAGGUGGGGUAAAGGCUCACCUAGGCUGCGAUCCGUAGCUGGUGUGAGAGGAUGACCAGCCACGCUGGAACUGAGACACGGUCCAGACUCCUACGGGAGGCAGCGGGGGGGAAUAUUGGACAAUGGGCGCAAGCGUGAUGCAGCCAUGCCGCGUGUAUGAAGAAGGCCUUCGGGUUGUAAAGUACUUUAAGCGGGGAGGCGUUACCCGCAGAAGAAGCACCGGCUAACUCCGUGCCAGCAGCCGCGGUAAUUC